UCUGAGGCAGUUCCCCAUCUGUACUAAUCAUACUUGCCUUUUGUUUUCAUUUCAGUGAAAGCUGGUGGAAUGUAGAUCAUGCAGAAACACCCACAUGCUAGAGACACCAAGGAAGAAAGAGACAAGGAUUACCAGGAAUGGGAAAGCCCCAAAUGGUAGACGUCUGGUGACUCUUAACAAACUUUGCAAAUAAUGAUUGUUCUGUUAAACAUUAGUGUUUGUCCUUCCUCUGUUCUGAUAACUCCUGGGCAGCUGGACCUGUGCUGUGUAUUCUUGCUUUCCCUGUCAAUGAGGUAGAGUUCUGUGCCACUUGGGCAGGAGACAGGGCAUGUAAAUUACACCAUUUUCUCUGUUGACAACUCAUGAGCCCAGGCAGGUGCAGGGACUGCAGUGAUGUUGGCACGCACAGGCAGCCUCUCUAUGCCUUGGGUAAGUCAGGGCUCCUCCCUUCCUGAAAGCCAAGGCGCUGUGCCAGCAGGAGCAGGAGACCCUGGAGAAGCUUACUGUGGAUCCUGGGUCUCCGGUGGGGCACAAAGCCACCAUCAUUUCCCUCCAUGCCCGAGUGGAGGAAAUAGGUUAAUUCUUGGGGCUGCAGGUCCUUUACACUCUAGGUUUCCGUUUACUAUUCCAUAGAAGUGUGCACUAACAAUCUGUGGACUGCAGUUCUCCAUUGGAGCUACAGUUCUGAAACCCUUGGGAACCCUGAGAUACUACACUAGUUGAAUCUUGGCCAUCUGCGCAGCUGGGAUGGAAAACUUCUGGUUUAAGAAAUGUUUAUGGGAAAACCUUACGUGACAUCUCUGCUCCCUUUGGGUCUUGGAACCUCUCUGCUUACCUUUCUGUUGGGCACCUCUUUUCCUUGGAGGUUCUGAGUUCAAGCUUGGCUCAAGGGCCUCGUCCUUUGCUGUGCUUGACCUUGCUAUGUACAAGCAGGCAUCACAGACACAUGCACCUCUCUAGGUGUCCACGAGGAAGAAUGUGAACAUCCAAUUUUCUGCUUAUAACUUGUCUCCAGACAGCAGAGGAGGAAACAAAGGGUGGGAGGGAAGGAGGGCGUGGACAGCAGUGAGCUCUUGCUCCUGUUGGCCAGGCACAUGAUCUGACUUCAUUUCACUCCUGUAGUGCUGAGCAGCAGUUAGUAUUCCCCCCGAUUUACAUACAAGGAAAUGGGAUCCCACAUCACGCUCCUUCCCAGUUAAUAGAGCAGUCAUUUAAAUGCAGUUUAGUGGGGUUCAGAGAAGGCCAGGUUUCCAAAAGAAGAUUCCUGGGAGUGCACACCAACAGGAAGGCAGGUAUACUUGGUACCAUGUGUCUGGUGGCAGGUAUGCCCCGCUGGGCAUUUUCCGUAAGCCUUGUAUGGGUGUUUCAGAUUCUAGUCUCUCGUUCACCCAAAAGAUUGCUCUCUUUCUGUGUAGACCCAAGGUUUUGAAGCAAGCUUACCACAGAGUACAGACCCAGUCAAACACUACUUGAGGGGCAGACCUCUGCAUGAAGUUUCUGUGCAAUCAUUUCCCAUUUUGAAUUGAGUAAGCAAUGUCAAAGAAAGUUCAGCCUAAGUCCUGGUUUUAUUUUUUAACUCUUUUUUUCCAUUUGUUUGAUGCUGGGGUUGAACCCUGAGCCCUGCACAUGCUAAUCAUAUACCCGAAUUCUGGUUUUAAAAGAAGAAAGUAGUUUAAAGAAAAUUCCACGAUUAUUUCUCACUGACUGUUUUCCAGAGCUGCAUAUGAGUUGCAAGGGCAGCAGUAACUCCUCCAGGUCCACACCCUGGGGCCCAGGAUGUCUCAGGCUCUAUAAAGGUUGGGGUAUUAGAGAGUGAUGCACAUGUGAUGCAGUAAUGCACACACCAUCCAGCUGCCAGGGCACAGGCACCUGU
rnacentral:lncRNA from 1 species